rnacentral:lncRNA from 1 species
AUGGAAAUAUUCUCUGCAUCCGGAGUGCUAACUGUGACCGAUGAGGAUCACCAGAACCACGAGUGUGGGUCUCUGGAAGGAUCUGCUCAUUUACCGACAAAAGGCACAGAUGAAAGGAAAAGAAGAACGACAGAGAAGCAGAAGAACAGAAAGCAAGAGGAAGAUGUUACAAAGCAGAAGAGCAAAGAUGGAUGUGGAGAAAAAGAGGUGAAGGAUGUAAGAAAUGCUGAAGAAAUGCGUACUACCGAUGCACAAACAGAUGGAACCGACAUGUCCGAGGGUGCCGAGGGGUCAUCAAACGCAGCAGGGGAGACCAGUGCCCCUGAAACAGAAAUAAGAGAUAAAGGAGAGCGAGAAUUGACAGAUGGAGUGAAAGAGGGAGGACAGACAGCAGAAAGUCCAGAAACACAGAUACAGGCUCUCAAAACCACUGAUAGGACUCAGAAGAGCCUCUCUCUGCAGGUCAAUGACUUCAUGGACACCGAGCCGCCUCUGGCUGUUUGUGAGUUUUCAAACUCCUCAAAAAAUCUGCCGCAGAUAAUCACCGACAAGCAUGCAGACUGUAACCGUCCAGGCAGGGAGCGCACAGUCGAUGGAAAAGUCAACGGAUUUGGUUUGGAUGAACACCAAAGUGUCAGCAGCGUGCCAGAACCUGAUGCUGAAGCUGCACACCCUGACUCACCUGUCGAGGUUCAAACUGUGCAUCAGGACCCCGAGCGCUCAGACCUGGAACACGAGAAAACAUCCACGGAAAUGUCCGGUUAUUUUCCCGCUGAAGGGCCAAGCCCAUGCACCUCUCAAACUCCGCAAAGCCACAACAUCCAAGAGAGCGAAACGAACCCAACUCAGACUGAACAUUGUGAUCCUCGUGCUGUUGUCGCCGUGGAGACAACAAAGGAAAUGUUUGGCGCGGAUGAGGAGAGCGUUUCAGUGACAAACAUGGCCGAAGCUCAAAGUCUCGAAGCCUCAGAGAAGCAGGAACGCGUGCAGCUCAGGUCUGUGGUGGAUGAAGAUGGAAGGAGUGAAAGCAGCACCUGUGAGUCUGCAGAGAGAGCUGCAGCAAAGGAGGACGUGGAGGAGCAAAGCAAAACUGAUCAAGGCUCAGGAGGUGGAGAGGGUACCAAAAAUGAUGCUGAUCCAAAGAUUUCCCAUCAGCAAAGUGGUGAAACCGCUGAAUCAUCAGAACCUGGAAGAUCGAAGAAUCAACCCCUAAAGCAGAAGAGACCUACCGAUUCUGCUGAGUUGUCGCAGAUCUCCAGGUCACUGUUUGACUGGACCGCUCAGAGGAAAACGUUCAGUGACUUCUCCGUCCUGCACGAGUUUACUCAGGGAACUCAUCUGUCUGGACGUCCGCUCGAUUCAGCCCCCGUGUUCUCCAAAACCAAACACGACAAAGGUGGUGGUUAUCAACGUUAUGAAGUUUUGCACAUAGAUGGUUCUUAACGUACGUCGUCAUUUUCAGCUCAGCAAAUGAUCACCAAGGCGUCGGACCUGUUCAGCACCUUCGGUGUCUCCGCGGCUGCAAGUCUCUCAAAGAGUCAACGGCGGGGGAGAGGAGUGAUGGAAGAGACCUGCAGAGAAACGGCAGAGAAGGUCAGUGCUUCUGAAGGGUAAAAGCUGCACAGACACACGUGCCGUGGUGUCUUUAUUAUAAAAAAACAACCCUGAGUUACUACAGCUGAGAUUAGAGAGUAAGCAGCAGCCUUGUGCUGCUAACUGAUCACCAGUAAGUCUGAGCUCCCAACUGUGCUGGUCUGGAGCAUACAGGUGUGUGUAAACUCAGUCAGAAGGUGGGAACUGCUCAUCCAUUAGGAAGAAAGGUCAUUUUCGAAAAAAUCUGGACUUAAUUCCAACAGCAGGUCUGGAUGUCCCAGCAAAUUCCAGGUCUAAACCUCCAGGUCAGAGGUCACUGUUCAGGGAAAGGACCGAAAACACCUCAAAAAGUCCAUCUGACGCCGGGCCGCUGAAGCGCCGCGAAAUUGGGGCCGCCUUCAUUCGGCGCCCUUGUUAUCCUACUCUAUAGACCACAUGGGCCGCCGAAGCGCCGUGCGCUCCAGCCCACGCCGUGCAGCGAUCGUUUCGGCGUCGGCUCUAUUUUUUCCGCGAGCCGCGGGUGAACCUUGUCGAUUCUGUCAGGAAGUCAAACCUAGACAUAAGAGGCAGGCCGGUAAAUUUAACAAAAUAAAGCAUUUCUAAAUACGAUUCUGCGAUAGUCCAAUGUGUUCAUAAACAGACGCUGCACACACACACACACACACACACACACACACACACACAGCGAACUUGUGUGUGUGUGACCACGUGAAGGGGGUGUGGUUUUGGGUGUCUUGCAACCGGAGCAAACAGGACAGAGAGGCAGAAAGUCGUAGGCCAGCUAUUAAUAACUGGUACACACCAGAGGUUCACACACACACACACACACACACACACACACACACACACACACACACACACACACACACACACACACACAAACAGAAAGGGGGAGGGAGGGGGGGGGUGUCGAGGAAAAGAGCAGAGAAAAGGCUGAGAGGAAAUGGACGACACCAAGUGGUUAAAAGAAAAACUACGAGGCGCGCCUCGACCGGAGCGAAGAAACAAGCGUCUGGUCUGAACUGAGGAGCAGCGGCCGAAUUUCGUGAGCGCUUCGCCUCCCGGCGCUUCAGCGGCCGGUGUAUCCCCGGCGUUAGAGUUUGCUGGACUCAGUUAGCAGGGGUAAGGUUAAAGUUCAUGACAGCAUGGUAUGGUUGCACUACUGGAGGCCAGUUCUUAAAGCUUUAGGUCAUUCUUUUUGUGUUGUUCCUCUAAACGGGAAUAAAAUGAAAUGUGAAGUUAGGAUGAUUUUUAAAAGGUUCCUUCACUUGUUUUUUCACCAACUCUGCUGGUGGUCUCUAGCUUGAGUGAAUGCCUUGUGAGUCGUUUCCUUUGGAAAAAAGCUCGGGCCCACCUGUUUCAUUUUUUGGAGGAGUGGGAGGGUUAACAGGAUUAUGAGUCUUACUCAUUAAUAUUCAUGAUACGCAACAUCUAGCCUCUGAUUGGCUAACAGCAACAAGACUCUUCCACUGCCUUCAUUCGCAACGAUGAUGUUUUAUCUCAAUAAAAAACACGUGCUUCAGCGUGUUGCGCCAUGUUGUGGAGUUGCAAAUGCUAACGGUUAGCUUCUGCUAGCUGAGACGCUCUGCUCCCUCCAUCCCGUAGAAGGGGCCAUGAGUAUUCCUUUUCCCAGUGACGUAGAAGAGGCUGGCCUUUUCUUACCCAAUAGUUUUCCCGUCUGUUUCCCUUUUGCGGCUGAUGGAGGCGAGGGGGGUUUGAAGAAAACGUUCACGUUCAGCGUGCGUGUGAAACAAUCUCAUUUCAGAAAGAACGUGUUUUACAGUUUCUCAGGGAAACAUAUUUUUAAGAAUGUUUUUUCUUUUUUGCAAAGCCCAAACAAACAUGUUAAACAGAAUUCUCAGUCGUUAGUUGAUAGCUAGGCUUAAAACAUUUUUAUUUGAUAGGGCCUAUGGUUAAAAUCUGAUGUUAGCCCAGAUCUGGACAAGAGGGGGAGUAGAGGGAGGUGGAGUGUACAGUCGGUAAAGACGGCUCUCCUUUGCCCUGCCUCCAACAUGCCUCCAUCUAAAUAGGAUAGAUUAUCCAGAGUUAUCUCUGUAGUUAUGCUGCUAUAGGCUUAGACUGCUGGAGGAUACACUGACCACUUUUCACACUCGACUGCUUUCUUCUACAAUCUGCUCUUUAACUGUAUUAUUUCCUGCUAUUUCAGCUAUAAACUUUAUUUUCUCUCUAAGUGUUUUCUCCCCAGAAGAAGCUACAAUGAUGUUCUGCUGAGCUGUGGUGGCCUCAUGGAGGGGGCCGUCGUCUAGCACACUGCUGUUAACCACUUAAACAUUCUCCCUCUCCUGAUAAUAACUUUUUGUUUUCAUUGACUUUUGAUGUGCUACUACUAGUUUACCCGUUUAAUUAUAGAUUCACUAGGAUAAAUACAAUAAAGUUUAUCUCUCACCAAAUAGAAUAUUUACUAAGACAUCACAAUAUAACUAUAGACACAUUACUUGUCUUUGUGUGUGUGUGUGUGUGUGUGUGUGUGCGUGUGUGUGUGCGUGUGUGCGUGUGUGCGUGUGUGUGUGUGUGUGUGUGUGUGUGUGUGUGUGUGUGUGGNNNNNNNNNNNNNNNNNNNNNNNNNNNNNNNNNNNNNNNNNNNNNNNNNNNNNNNNUGGAGGUUUCUUCCUGUUAAAAGGGAGUUUUCCUCUCCACUGUCGCUAUAUGCUUGCUUAGUAUGAGGAUUGCUGUAAAGUCACUGACACUCGUCAGUGACUCGAUGCAAUUUGCUGGGGUCCUUAUAUAGGAAACAUUAUUUCUGAUUGGCUUAAUGAACUGACCUGGAUUGGAAUGUUUAUUAUGUGAAGUGCCUUGAGACGACUCUUGUCGUGAUUUGGCGCUAUAUAAAUAAACUUGAAUUGAAUUUGUUUUGAAUGUUCUCUUUGUCUGAGGCCUACUAGGUCCUGUGUUGAGUGAAAAAGCAUAGCUGAUCCACGUUGAGCUCAUAGUUGUCCUGUAACAGUCAGACAGGCAGAGAACGAAUGAUCUGUGGUUGAAAAUCCACCUAAUGAUGCUCGGGUACCGCUCCUCUCCCACUUACUCCAUCUCAAUCUGUCCCACUCUCCCCUCUCACUUCAUCAUUUGUCUCUCCACCCUUUUCUACCAUUUUCACUCUCAUUUUCUUUUGUCACUUUGCUGUCAUUCCAUGUUUUACACGAUCCAGGUGCUGGCAGUUGAGGGAGAAAAGCCCUGAUCCGAUAGUUGAACUAACGGCGGUGACGGCCGAAGCGUUUCAUUCUGUCUGCGGAGCGGAAACGCUGGGAGCGUCACGCAGAGUUCAGUCUGAGCCAGUCUGGCUCCUGUUACGUAUCAUUUGCCCCUGCGCUCGGCCCGAGCUCCAUCUGUUUAUCACAGUUACAUUUCCUCAAGAGGCACAGAAAAAUCCCCAAACCUUCAGCUGGUUUUCCACUACCAGCAGGCAGAACGCUGAGACGGCAGAAUCAGAGUUUUACUGUCUUUUGUUGUUGUCAUCCUCAGGACAGAACAUCUUCAGUGCUUUCCAUCUCCAGUUCUGCCAGUCAAGCCUCACAGCAACCCAGUUCAGAGUGAGUUCAGAGACACACACGAUGUUGAGAUGUCAUUUCAGCUGACGUUCAAAGACUCUAACAUUACACCAGAUUAGGUUUUAAAUAGUUUAAAAUUCAUUAUCGCCUGUAGAGCCACUGAGCUUUUAAAAAUACAUGACAUCAUUUCCUGUAGUUAGAUUUUUGGACAUUCAACAUGGCCGCCCUUUUAGCUCUGCUGUUGCAUCAUAUGUAAAUAUAUAACUAGUUUUUUCUUUUCUAAAUCUGAUGUAGCAGGACUUCCUGCUCACCUGUUGCUCCUGGGUCAGAGUUGGACCAGGAACCUUCCUGUUCCCUGGAGAGGGAUGACCAGCAGUCAUCACUGAGAGCACAGAUUUCCAAAAUCGAAGCGUUCCUCAACACAGAGAGGCUCCGACUGCCUAAAAGACGUCGGAUUGAGUCGCCAGACGUAUCCGGUUCUGUUCUAUGAAAUGACACAAGAGCCUACUGUUCCACAAGUUUGAUCAUUUUCAUUACCUUUAAACCCUCCAAAAGUUUCCCUUUUGUUAUAAAAAAGAUCUCAUGAUGACUGUGAGCUCUUCAGGUUUCUCUUCAGACUUCAGUUUGAGUCAGACUGACCCUUGGUUUAGAGUUCCUGUCCAUUUUGCAGCCUUACAGAUCAAAUAUGAGCUGUUGGGUGUGUGUGUGUGUGUGUGUGUGUGUGUGUGCGUGCGUGCGUGCGUGCGUGCGUGUGUGUGUGUGUGUGUGUGUGUGUGUGUGCGUG